CGAAAUGCGAUAAGUGGUGUGAAUUGCAGAAUUCAGUGAAUCAUCGAAUCUUUGAACUCACAUUGCA
rnacentral:rRNA from 1 species